CCGGCGACCGGCGGACGGGUGCGUAACGCGUAUGUAACCUACCUUUGACAGGGGGAUAACAUCGAGAAAUUGGUACUAAUACCCCAUAACAUCACCGGAGGCAUCUUCGGUGGUUGAAAACUCAGGUGGUCAGAGAUGGACAUGCGUUAUAUUAGCUAGUUGGUGAGGUAACGGCUCACCAAGGCGACGAUACAUAGGGGGACUGAGAGGUCAACCCCCCACAUUGGUACUGAGACACGGACCAAACUCCUACGGAAGGCAGCAG
rnacentral:rRNA from 1 species